UACGGAGGGGGCUAGCGUUGUUCGGAAUUACUGGGCGUAAAGCGCACGUAGGCGGCUUUGUAAGUUAGAGGUGAAAGCCCAGGGCUCAACCCUGGAAUUGCCUUUAAGACUGCAUCGCUUGAACAUCGGAGAGGUAAGUGGAAUUCCGAGUGUAGAGGUGAAAUUCGUAGAUAUUCGGAAGAACACCAGUGGCGAAGGCGACUUACUGGACGAUUGUUGACGCUGAGGUGCGAAAGCGUGGGAGCAAACAGG
rnacentral:rRNA from 1 species